ACCGCAAACGAGAUACGUGGUUUGGUAGUUUCACCGUCGAUAUGCAUUUAAUCAGAGGAAAGUUGGCAACGCCUGAAAGUUCAUACGGCGUUCUUCCUUAGUACUCCGAGUGGACUGACAAAUAUUAUGAUAGAUGAUGUCAUGAUGUGUCACAACACAAGUUAUACUUUCCCGGGUAAGAUAAGAUAGUGAAUAGAUUCACCUAUGCGCGCUCACAUUUUGCUAAUAACUGUGCACCAUUGAACAUACCGUGAUGUUUAUGAAGUGAAAAGCAGACUCAACAGCGUGGCGUGAGAGCCAAUGAACUCUUCACAGCCUAAUCAAUUCACAGAUCAUACGAUACUUAAACCGAGUUGCUCCGUUUGGGGGACACCCCUAAAAAUGUACACCACACUGGUGCUCUCCGUGCUGUGCGCCACGGCUUUGGGCCACCUAGUGGACCGCACCCUGGAACCGAAGUCCCACGGCCGAGACGUGGUGGAAGCGGUCAUCAAUCGGAUCAACCGGAGUGGAGUGUUCCCCGACGACCGGGACUUAUUGCGUCGUGUGGCCUAUGUUGAGAGCAAGUUCGGCGAUGACCCCACAACCUACAGAGAUGGCUACUCAGGGGGCGUUUGGCAGUUCGACCAGCUCGAGAAAACGCAACGCGACGAGGCGGAUGGUGGCACUAGCCAGGAACUGAAGGACAUUCACGCUAAUAUCAAGGAGGAGUUAGGAAUCGACUGGCUCCAGGUAAAGAAAGAAGACUUACUGAAGCCGCUUUACUCGGGACUGACCGCCAGAAUCCACCUCGAGCAAACUCAGCUGUCCCAUGGUUGGAUUCCAGCAGACAUCGACGGCCAGGCCAAGUACUGGAAGGACCACUACACAAGCAGUCAAAAGAAGGAAAACGAUUUCCAGACUCAAGUCCGCAAGCUGCUCGAAGAAGACAUGCAACCCUCUUCGACUCGCAUCGACCUGAUGAUGGUCAUGGGCGGCAGUAGCAGAAUCAGUAACCGAAAUUUCAAAAAGGGGUUGGACACCCUGGCGCGUCUGGCCGGUGUCUUCGACCGCCAGGAGGCCAACAUUGGGAUGCUCAGCUACGGCGGCGAAGAUGCUUUUGUUGAGGUUCCGCUUGUCAAUGAUUAUAGCAUGGAGAGAAUUCAGCAGAGAAUCCAGAAUGCGAUUUACCCAGCGACUUGGACUGAUGCGUACGUCGGGAUGAAAGAAGGAAUUGAACAGUUUAAAGCUUUACCAGCUACGAGAGAGGAGAGUGGUGUGCCACGGCUUAUGGUCGUAUUCGUAGAUGGGAACAGCCGCGGCUAUAUUGAACCAAGCACCGCCGCGGAAAAUGCUGCUAAAUCAGGUAUCACAACUUUCGGCUUCGGCAUACAAAAGGUAUGGUAUAUACUAACCAACAAGGAAUUGCUGGAAAUUGCGAAUAAUAAACCUGAAAAUGUUAUCCGUGCGGACACGUUUGACGAUUUUUCGGAGCAGAUAUCUCGUUUCGUUCUCCGGGCAAAAUCUAUGCCUCAAACGCCGAAAAUGGGCUGGGAAACGAAGGAGACUAUGAAAAGGGUUGGCGAGACGAGAAACUACAAGAUCAAGGUGCCAGCGAAUGGUGCGACUGUCUUACUGACCAAAGAGAGGGGACACAUCCGUGGCUUCUGGAUUAAUUCUGCUGAGCAGCCGUCAAACGCCCUUUAUGAUGGGAUUUUGAAAGAGGGAAAGACUUUUAUUCCACCACAACAAAAUGCUGACGGUGACGUGCUGAUUGCGCUUGAGAGUGUGGCGGCUGACAGCUCAGCAAGGAUAAAAAUAGUCGAAGGAAGAUCGUAAAGAAGAAAUGUCGAGGACCUAACGGAGACCGGAAGAUAAUAAUGCAUUGAAAUUUGAUUUGUAGAUUAUUUAAGAGCCUUUAAUUGAUCUUUGGAUCGUUCCAAUUAUUAUAAAAUGAGUGUAAAAUAAUAAAUCAAUAAGCAUCCUCGGUUUGUGUACAACUAUGCCUCCAUUGCCUCC
rnacentral:lncRNA from 1 species